GUCCACGCCGUAAACGUUGUGCACUAGGUGUAGGAGGUAUCGACCCCUUCUGUGCCGUAGCUAACGCGUUAAGUGCACCGCCUGGGGAGUACGGUCGCAAGACUGAAACUCAAAGGAAUUGACGGGGGCCCGCACAAGCGGUGGAGCAUGUGGUUUAAUUCGAGGCAACGCGAAGAACCUUACCCAGACUUGACAUCCCGCGACCGCCGUGGAAACACGGCUUCCCCUUCGGGGGCGCGGAGACAGGUGUUGCAUGGCUGUCGU
rnacentral:rRNA from 1 species